rnacentral:rRNA from 1 species
AUUGAACGCUGGCGGCAGGCCUCACACAUGCAAGUCGAGCGAGCGGCGGACGGGUGAGUACUGUCUGGGAAACUGCCUGAUGGAGGGGGAUAACUACUGGAAACGGUAGCUAAGACCGCAUACCCUCAGAUGUGCCCAGAGGGGAUUAGCUAGUAGGUGGGGUAACGGCGCACCUAGGCGAGGAUCCCUAGCUGGUCUGAGAGGAUGACCGGCCAAACUGGAACUGGGAAACGGUCCAGACUCCUACGGGAGGCAGCAGUGGGGAAUAUUGCACAAUGGGCGCAAGCCUGAUGCAGCCAUGCCGCGUGUGUGAAGAAGGCCUUCGGGUUGUAAAGCACUUUCAGCGGGGAGGCGUUACCCGCAGAAGAAGCACCGGCUAACUCCGUGCCAGCAGCCGCGGUAAUUC